AUGAACGCUGGCGGCGUGGAUAAGGCAUGCAAGUCGAACGGGUCCGAUGACCGAUAGCAAUAUUGGACAUCGGACUAGUGGCAGACGGGGUAGUAACACGUAGGAACUUACCCCAGAGACGGGCACAACCCGGCGAAAGCCGGACUAAUUCCCGAUAGUUCCCGAAAGGGUAAAGGCAGUAAUGCGCUCUGGGAGAGGCCUGCGGGCUAUCAGCUAGUUGGUAGGGUAAAGGCCUACCAAGGCUAUGACGGCUAGGGGGAGUGCGAGCUUGGCCCCCACCAAUGGAACUGCGACACGGUCCAUACACCUACGGGUGGCAGCAGCCGAGAAUAUUCGACAAUGGGCGAAAGCCUGAUCGAGCGACGCCGCGUGCAGGACGAAGUCCUUCGGGACGUAAACUGCUUUUUUAGGGGAGGAACGAAAGUGACUGUACCUUAAGAAUAAGGGCUUGCUAACCUCGU
rnacentral:rRNA from 1 species